GGGGCAGCGCGGUGUAGCAAUACACUGGCGGCGACCGGCAAACGGGUGCGGAACACGUACGCAACCUUCCUCAAAGCGGGGGAUAGCCUCUCGAAAGAGAGAUUAAUACCCCAUAGUAUCGUCAGAAGGCAUCUGAAGACGAUUAAAGCUCCGGCACUUUGAGAUGGGCGUGCGUCUGAUUAGGUAGUUGGUAGGGUAACGGCCUACCAAGCCGACGAUCAGUAGCUGAUGUGAGAGCAUGAUCAGCCACACGGGCACUGAGACACGGGCCCGACUCCUACGGGAGGCAGCAGUGAGGAAUAUUGGUCAAUGGAGGCAACUCUGAACCAGCCAUGCCGCGUGAAGGAUGAAGGUCCUCUGGAUUGUAAACUUCUUUUAUAGAAGAAGAAACCCCAUUUUUCUAAAUGGGUUGACGGUACUCUAUGAAUAAGCACCGGCUAACUCCGUGCCAGCAGCCGCGGUAAUACGGAGGGUGCAAGCGUUAUCCGGAUUCACUGGGUUUAAAGGGAGCGUAGGUGGGCUUGUAAGUCAGUGGUGAAAUCUCCGAGCUUAACUUGGAAACUGCCAUUGAUACUACUAGUCUUGAAUUCUGUGGAGGUAAGCGGAAUAUAUCAUGUAGCGGUGAAAUGCUUAGAUAUGAUAUAGAACACCGAUAGCGAAGGCAGCUUACUACGCAGAUAUUGACACUGAGGCUCG
rnacentral:rRNA from 1 species